UUGAUCCUGGCUCAGGAUGAACGCUGGCGGUAUGCUUAACACAUGCAAGUCGAACGGGAUGCUUAGGCAUCUAGUGGCGGACGGGUGAGUAACGCGUGAGAAUCUGGCUCCAGGUCGGGGAUAACAGUUGGAAACGACUGCUAAUACCGGAUGUGCCGAGAGGUGAAAGAUUUAUUGCCUGGAGAUGAGCUCGCGUCUGAUUAGCUAGUUGGUGGUGUAAGGGACCACCAAGGCGUCGAUCAGUAGCUGGUCUGAGAGGAUGAUCAGCCACACUGGGACUGAGACACGGCCCAGACUCCUACGGGAGGCAGCAGUGGGGAAUUUUCCGCAAUGGGCGAAAGCCUGACGGAGCAAUACCGCGUGAGGGAGGAAGGCUCUUGGGUCGUAAACCUCUUUUCUCAAGGAAGAAGAAAGUGACGGUACUUGAGGAAUAAGCAUCGGCUAACUCCGUGCCAGCAGCCGCGGUAAUACGGAGGAUGCAAGCGUUAUCCGGAAUGAUUGGGCGUAAAGGGUCUGCAGGUGGAACUGAAAGUCUGCUGUUAAAGAGUUUGGCUUAACCAAAUAAAAGCGGUGGAAACUACAGAACUAGAGUGUGGUAGGGGCAAAAGGAAUUCCUGGUGUAGCGGUGAAAUGCGUAGAUAUCAGGAAGAACACCGGUGGCGAAAGCGUUUUGCUAGACCAUAACUGACACUGAGGGACGAAAGCUAGGGGAGCGAGUGGGAUUAGAUACCCCAGUAGUCCUAGCCGUAAACGAUGGAUACUAGGCGUGGCUUGUAUCGACCCGAGCCGUGCCGGAGCUAACGCGUUAAGUAUCCCGCCUGGGGAGUACGCACGCAAGUGUGAAACUCAAAGGAAUUGACGGGGGCCCGCACAAGCGGUGGAGUAUGUGGUUUAAUUCGAUGCAACGCGAAGAACCUUACCAAGACUUGACAUCCUGCGAAUCCUGGUGAAAGCUGGGAGUGCCUUCGGGAGCGCAGAGACAGGUGGUGCAUGGCUGUCGUCAGCUCGUGUCGUGAGAUGUUGGGUUAAGUCCCGCAACGAGCGCAACCCUCGUUUUUAGUUGCCAGCAUUAAGUUGGGCACUCUAGAGAGACUGCCGGUGACAAACCGGAGGAAGGUGAGGAUGACGUCAAGUCAGCAUGCCCCUUACGUCUUGGGCUACACACGUACUACAAUGCUACGGACAGAGGGCAGCAAGCCAGGGAUGGCAAGCGAAUCCAGAAACCGUAGCCCAGUUCAGAUCGAAGGCUGCAACUCGCCUUCGUGAAGGAGGAAUCGCUAGUAAUUGCAGGUCAGCAUACUGCAGUGAAUUCGUUCCCGGGCCUUGUACACACCGCCCGUCACACCAUGGAAGUUGGUCACGCCCGAAGUCAUUACCCCAACCGAAAGGAGGGGGAUGCCUAAGGUAGGACUA
rnacentral:rRNA from 1 species